rnacentral:lncRNA from 1 species
AAACCAAGUAAAAUUUUUUAUUAUAAAGUACUUUCAGGUCAAAGGAAUAAAUAUCAAUGGAGAGUAUCUCAAUUACCAGAGAUUUACAGAUGAUAUAACUGUUGUUCAUUCAAACAUCAAAUGAAUUAUAGGAAAUGCUAAGUAACUUCAAGAUAGAAAGUGAGAAAACAAAAUUGCAAACGAACUGUGAGAAGACAAAGAUAAUGUUCUAUAUAGAUAUAAACCCACAACCAGUGACAAUCAAAGGCCAAACAACUGAGAAUGGAAAAUACAAAUACUUAGAAGAAGUAAUCAUAACAUCAGGAGAACAGAUGCAAGAAAUUCAACAUAGGAUACAGUUGGGAUGGUAUGCAUGCAGCCAAUACAGUAACUUCCUGAAGGCAGUGGUUUCCAAACUUUUUGUGUCUGCACACCCGUUUUUCAUAAUAAAUUGAUACGCCCUUCAUUUUCACACCAGUCUAAUUUUUAAAAUAUUUUCUACUUACAGUUUAAUACUACAAAACCAUAUACCAUAUUUUAUAUAAAUAAAGUUCUUAUACAUAAACAUAUAUGUUAUUACGGUGUAAUAAUUUUUAAUACAAUUAAACAACUCUUACAAAAAAACGAAAAAAUAGAAAUACAUGUUUAAUACAACACAAUAUUUAUUGUCA